UGUAUGUUGUAUUAAUACUUCCAGAACACAAGGUUACUACUAACAAACACUUGUUUAUUUAUCCUGAAGACAAAUAGACGUGUUAGAAUCAUUAACAACACGAGUCUGUCCUUUAAUAAAAUGUCCAGGUGGGACUUAAAGGAGCAGCUUCAUAGCACCUGUUCAGGUAGAACAACAUGUCUUUAUGAUUGGUUUCAGUAGAGUCCGGGAGGACAGGGACAACUUCAGGAUUACAUAUGUGACAUCUGUCCACAGGGGACAGCGUCAGUAGUAAACAGAAGACAUCCGACCACAUAACCUUAACAUGUAGUUUAAGUAUCAGCAGUAAAAGUACACAAGUAUCCUCAGCCUCAUGUAGUUAAAGUAUCAGCAGUAAAAGUACACAAGUAUCAUCGGCCUCAUGUAGUUAAAGUAUCUGCAUUAAAGGUACACAAGUAUCAUCGCCUCAUGUAGUUAAAGUAUCAGCAGUAAAAGUACACAAGUAUCAUUGGCCUCAUGUAGUUAAAGUAUCUGCAUUAAAGGUACACAAGUAUCAUCGCCUCAUGUAGUUAAAGUAUCAGCAGUAAAAGUACACAAGUAUCAUCGCCUCAUGUAGUUAAAGUAUCAGCAGUAAAAGUACACAAGUAUCAUCGCCUCAUGUAGUUAAAGUAUCUGCAUUAAAAGUACACAAGUAUCCUCAGCUUCAUGUAGUUAAAGUAUCAGCAGUAAAAGUACACAAGUAUCAUCGGCCUCAUGUAGUUAAAGUGUCUGCAGUAAAAGUACACAAGUAUCAUCAGCCUCAUGUAGUUUAAGUAUCAGCAGUAAAAGUACACAAGUAUCAUCGUCCUCAUGUAGUUAAAGUAUCAGCAGUAAAAGUACACAAGUAUCCUCGGCCUCAUGUAGUUAAAGUAUCAGGAGUAUAAGUACACAAGUAUCAUCGGCCUCAUGUAGUUAAAGUAUCAGCAGUAAAAGUACACAAGUAUCAUCGUCCUCAUGUAGUUAAAGUAUCAGCAGUAAAAGUACACAAGUAUCAUCGUCCUCAUGUAGUUAAAGUAUCAGCAGUAAAAGUACACAAGUAUCAUCGUCCUCAUGUAGUUAAAGUAUCAGCAGUAAAAGUACACAAGUAUCAUCGUCCUCAUGUAGUUAAAGUAUCAGCAGUAAAAGUACACAAGUAUCAUCGUCCUCAUGUAGUUAAAGUAUCAGCAGUAAAAGUACACAAGUAUCAUCGUCCUCAUGUAGUUAAAGUAUCAGCAGUAAAAGUACACAAGUAUCAUCGUCCUCAUGUAGUUAAAGUAUCAGCAGUAAAAGUACACAAGUAUCAU